rnacentral:rRNA from 1 species
UACAGAGGUCUCAAGCGUUGUUCGGAUUCAUUGGGCGUAAAGGGUGCGUAGGCGGUGGGGCAAGUCAGGGGUGAAAUCCCGGAGCUCAACUCUGGAACUGCACUUGAUACUGCCUUACUAGAGUACUGGAGAGGAGACUGGAAUUUACGGUGUAGCAGUGAAAUGCGUAGAUAUCGUAAGGAAGACCAGUGGCGAAGGCGAGUCUCUGGACAGUUACUGACGCUGAGGCACGAAGGCCAGGGGAGCAAACGGG